AAGCAAAUUACAUUUUGUGCUGAUAUAUGUGCUAUCAUAACAACAUGACAUGUGAAAUUUUAAAACUCAUGUCAUUUUAAAUCCUAAAUGAUGAGCCCCCAUAAUAUAUUACCAUCAGUACUCCAGCUCAGAGAUCAAAUGUCACGAUUGAACUUGAGAUAACACUGCUCCCUUGACAUGUCUGGAUUUGUCAGCCUGAGAACCUCUCCUUCCUCUCACCUUCACUGCCUGCCAGAAAAAAGAGGACCUUGAUAGGAAUCAGUAGAUGAGUGCUGAACUGCAAGUUUCUAUCUUAGGCAGAUAAAGUUGCACCAAACGCCUCUGGCCCUGCCCUUUUUCUCUGUUCCUCCACCCCCACACCCAUGUACACCAGUAUGCUCCCAUACCCCUGCACACACACACACACACACACACACACACACAUACAAACACCCCCCCCACACACAACUGACAUCCAGUUGCAGUUCUGUUCCCACUCUCCCCUGAACUCCCCACUCUCCUCUCCAACAUGCACUGGCGACUGCUCUCUCUCUGGGUGACUGGAACUCUGAUGACUCUUUGCUGGGGCAGGAGUGUUGAAGUUGAUGACUAUGAAGUAACAACAGCUGACUAUGACUAUGAAAAUACUACAUUUGAAUACUACUAUUACAUCAACUCAUCUCUCAGCUAUGAAGAAUUUGAAAUUCUUUCGGAGAAAACAGCAGAAGCAACAGACAAGGCCUCAGAGGUCACACGUUCAGCCUCCACCAUCUUCCUGGUCCUCUCCAUCCAGCAGCUCUUUCACUCACUUUAAAUGGGACCAAAUCUUACAGAACACACACAAAGUUAUAUAAUGAAGAUGCCAAGAGAGAGUUUCUAAAUCACCCCGCCUGCCUGCACAUCGUCAGUCAUGAACAUCACACUAACAUGGAUCUCAGGUGUUUUCAGGGACAAGGGAGAAAUACAUUUAAUUUAAAAGCCAUACAUUUUUAUAUUAAAAGUCAUACAAUAUUAUGAAGCCAACGAUUUUAUCAGUAAUUGUAAUCCAAGCAAGCCUAAUACUUUGCACAGUGCUCUACGUGUUCCAGAAGCACUUCUACUCCUGACUCUAUUUUCUACAAACAGGUUACUGGACCUCCUAUGAGGAAUGUUAUAUUUUUCAAGAAAUGUUUUCUUGGUUGGGGUUGUGCUUGUGAAAAGACUUACACUUGUUUAUAUUUUAGUAUGGUUAUUCAUCAAUAAAUAUUUUAACCUAACCCUCA
rnacentral:lncRNA from 1 species